rnacentral:tRNA from 1 species
GGUACCUUGGCCGAUCGGUUAGGUAACGGUCUGCAAAACCGUGUAGGGCAGUUCGACUCUGCCAGGUACCUCAA